rnacentral:rRNA from 1 species
AUGACUCCGGCGUCCGGUGUCGACAAGUACAACAUCCUCUCCCGCUUCACCAGCAACGCGUUCUACCUCGACUCCAAGUCCACCAUCGGCGUCGAGUUCGCCACCCGCACCCUCCUCAUGAGUACUCACCCCCGUUCCAUUAAUCGCUGCUAG